rnacentral:rRNA from 1 species
UACGUAGGGUGCAAGCGUUGUCCGGAAUUAUUGGGCGUAAAGAGCUCGUAGGCGGUUUGUUGCGUCGGCUGUGAAAACCUGAGGCUCAACCUCAGGCCUGCAGUCGAUACGAGCAGACUAGAGUGUUGCAGGGGAGACUGGAAUUCCUGGUGUAGCGGUGAAAUGCGCAGAUAUCUGGAGGAACACCGGUGGCGAAGGCGGCAUCCUGGACCGAGAUUGACGCUGAGGCGCGAAAGCCAGGGGAGCAAACGGG